rnacentral:rRNA from 1 species
CGAACGCUGGCGGCGUGCUUAACACAUGCAAGUCGAACGCGAAAGGGGACUUCGGUCCUGAGUAAAGUGGCGCACGGGUGAGUAACGCGUAGAUAACCUGUCUUCAUGUCUGGAAUAAUACGCCAAAGGGGGUACUAAUACCGGAUAUUCUUGCUUUUCAUAAGUUAUGCAAGCAAAGGUGGCCUCUGCAUAUGCUACUGCAUGAAGAGGGGUCUGCGUACCAUUAGCUAGUAGGUGGGGUAAUGGCCUACCUAGGCGACGAUGGUUAGCGGGUCUGAGAGGAUGAUCCGCCACACUGGCACUGGAACACGGGCCAGACUCCUACGGGAGGCAGCAGUGAGGAAUAUUGCGCAAUGGGGGAAACCCUGACGCAGCGACGCCGCGUGAGUGAGGAAGGCCUUCGGGUCGUAAAGCUCUGUCAAGAGGAAAGAAGUGUACAAUGGCUAAUACCUGUUGUAUUUGACGGUACCUCUAAAGGAAGCACCGGCUAACUCCGUGCCAGCCGCCGC